CCGGGCGUAGCGCAGAGGCAGGCGCGACGCGUCAACAGCGCGUCAAACGCCGGUUCGAAUCCGGCCCCGCGAG
rnacentral:tRNA from 1 species